CGCCGCCAGGGGGCGAUAGCUCCCCAGCGCAGCUGACUGAGGGGCGGCGGCGUCCCGUGCGCCGUCCCGGCACCUGCGUAGCGCUUCCAACGUGGAGUUUCGAGCUUGCCGUCCCGCAGUGUCACACAGUCACCCACGUGGGGCUCGUCCCGAGAAGGAACGUCUCCUGAGGUUGCACGCAGCACCCCGCACAGCCUUCCGCUGGCUGCCUAGGCGGGAGGUGGCACGUCCUCACAGGCACUGCCUUCCCUGCCCCUCACAGAACAUCACCGUAGCAGAGGGCACACAGAGGAUAUGAGCCCAGCCUGGUGCUGACUGCACCGUGCCCCGCUCCUCAGCCAUCAUCGCCAUCUUGGCCACCUCAGCACGUCACAGGGAUCAAAGCAAACCUCUCUGAACGGUUCUGCUCUCACCACUAGUUACACAGUUUCCAUUCAGGAGGAAGCUACAAGGCACAGGCUAGUUCUUGCUGGCAGCACAGCCAGCACCGUUCUGAGCCGGGAUCUCUCUUUGGAGGCCACUGCAGCAGGAGCCGGGGCAGGCUGGGGAUGUGUGGUAGCAGCCGUUGGCACAGGGUUACCUCAGCGUCCUGUCAGGGCACUGAGCGCCACAGAGCAGAUGGGAUCCCAGUCUUCCCGCCAUUUCUAUGACUGUAAAACUUUCCCAAAGUGCAAAAUUUCAUGCUUUUUGGAGAAGAAUCAAAGCUACCAGGCUUUCUUGAUGAAAAUAUUAAUUGCUAGUGCCAGGCAAGGACCUGGGCUCCAGAAGCUCCCCCAGCCGUGGCCUCAGCACCUGGUGAAAUGGCGAUGCUCAUCCUCUUUGCUCUCCUCCGCCUCCAGACGUCCCAGCCAGAGAUUUUCAACAGUACAUCUAAAAGAACAUUUUGCAGAUGAGAGGAAAAUGAGGGCACAGAAAUAAAGUGAAUUGUCUGAGGUCACACACCAAACAAAUGUCAGAGCUGGACUCAGGAUUUUUGACUCUUGGGAAGUGUUUUAUCCACCACACAAAGCUUUCUGUUACUGCUGCUGAAGAUGAUGAUAGCGUUUGUGUUAGACAAGUCAAAAAGAACAAUUGUUCUAUUCAACUUUAUACUACAAGCAAAUGUAUAUUCAAAACAGAGCCAAAGUCUGGCUGUUAAUUCCUUGUUCUCAGCCCAUCGGAUGUUGCUGUGUUAUGAAGAUGCCUGUAUUAAUUUCUCCAUCAGGAAAAGCAAUAAAAC
ensembl:lncRNA